rnacentral:rRNA from 1 species
AUAACUAGUAUUGGAGGCAUUGCCUGCCCAGUGACAACCGUUAAACGGCCGCGGUAUCCUGACCGUGCAAAGGUAGCAUAAUCAUUUGUUCUCUAAAUAAGGACUUGUAUGAAUGGCCAAACGAGGGUUUUACUGUCUCUUACUUCCAAUCAGUGAAAUUGACCUUCCCGUGAAGAGGCGGGAAUACCAUAAUAAGACGAGAAGACCCUAUGGAGCUUUAACUACUUAGUCCAAAGAAAUAAAUUUAUUAACCAAGGAAACAACAAUACUCUUUAUGGACUAACAGCUUUGGUUGGGGUGACCUCGGAGAACAGAAAAUCCUCCGAGCGAUUUUAAAGACUAGACUCACAAGUCAAAUCACACAAUCGCUUAUUGAUCCAAAAAAUUGAUCAACGGAACAAGUUACCCUAGGGAUAACAGCGCAAUCCUAUUCAAGAGUUCAUAUCGACAAUAGGGUUUACGACCUCGAUGUUGGAUCAGGACACCCCGAUGGUGCAACCGCUAUCAAAGGUUCGUUUGUUCAACGAUUAAAGUCCUACGUGAUCUGAGUUA